GAUGAACGCUGGCGGCGUGCCUAAUACAUGCAAGUCGAGCGAACAGACGAGGAGCUUGCUCCUCUGACGUUAGCGGCGGACGGGUGUGUAACACGUGGAUAACCUACCUAUAAGACUGGGAUAACUUCGGGACACCGGCGCUAAUACCGGAUAAUAUAUUGCACCGCAUGGUUCAAUAGUGAAAGACGGUUUUGCUGUCACUUAUCGAUGGAUCCGCGCCGCAUUAGCUAGUUGGUAAGGUAACGGCUUACCAAGGCUACGAUGCGUAGCCGACCGGACAGGGUGAUCGGCCACACUGGAACGGAGACACGGUCCAGACUCCUACGGGAGGCAGCAGUAGGGAAUCUGCCGCAAUGGGCGAAAGCCUGACGGAGCAACGCCGCGUGAGUGAUGAAGGUCUUCGGAUCGUAAAACUCUGUUAUUAGGGAAGAACAAAUGUGUAAGUAACUAUGCACGUCUUGACGGUACCUAAUCAGAAAGCCACGGCUAACUACGUG
rnacentral:rRNA from 1 species